rnacentral:rRNA from 1 species
UGGGGAAUCUUGGACAAUGGGGGCAACCCUGAUCCAGCGAUGCCAUGUGCGUGAAGAAGGCCUGAGGGUUGUAAAGCGCUUUAGUUAGGGAGGAAGUGAAGAGAGUUAAUAGCUUUUUUCAUUGACGUUACCUAAAGAAUAAGCACCGGCUAACUCUGUGCCAGCAGCCGCGGUAAUACAGAGGGUGCGAGCGUUAAUCGGAGUAACUGGGCGUAAAGGGCCCGUAGGCGGGUAGAUAAGUUAGAUGUGAAAGACUGGGGCUCAACCUCGGGAUUGCAUUUGAUACUGUUUACCUAGAGGAUCGGAGAGGGAAGAAGAAUUACUGGAGUAGCGGUGAAAUGCGUAGAUAUCAGUAGGAAUACCGAUGGCGAAGGCAUCUUCCUGGCCGAUUACUGACGCUGAGGGGCGAAAGCUCGGGUAGCGAACAGG